GUACAAGUACUGCGAAAGAUGACCUGUUGAGCGGCAAUGAUGUAUACGAUGGUUACGAUCGAUACGACAACCUAUACGACGAACAAUUCGACUCCCAAUACGACAAUGCCAACGAUGAUAUACCUAUGGACGUGUUAAUCCCUCUACUCAUCUCUCUAUGGGGGCUUAUGUCUUUGUGUCUGUGUAUCUACACACACAAGUUCAUCUGGCGGUCUCCUGCCGUGUCCAAGUUGUGCAUGUAUGUGGUUUUGUGUUCGCUGGUCAUGUUUUUUGCCACCAUCAUUGCUUUCAAGCCUGCCCAUGAAAACGACGGCUGGUACUAUGGUCCGGACAGCAAUUGGAGGAGGUUCAAUCGGAGGAGUUAUGAGCGAUGGAGGAGGGACAAUGGCGAUGUUGAAUUGACGUGGGGGGCUUACAAGGGGUGAGGGGGCUGUCGAUGAUGGCAAUGGGAAGAGCGGUCGAUGAGGCGAGUGAGAAGCGUUCUACGAAAGUUUUCCGGAGCUAUAAACUGAGGGUACUGCCUGAGCACUUACAAUCUGAUAUCUUUUCAUUGUUCUAAAGUCUCAUUUCUACAAGUGCUCGGCCACCUCUUGUCAUGAGCCAUAGGGACCUCGUGAUAUCAGAUGAUGUUUUCAAUCACCAUUGACUUGCUGAUUCAAUGCUGGGUUUUCCGCUUUUGAAUUACGGUACGGGAGCACAGUACGGAGUAUCAAUUGCUUUGUUAGUCUGCAGUGGUAGUUCAGAUAUCUCAAUCGGGGCUCCAGUUCGCAGGAAUCACAAUAGGUGCUCCUACUCAUUCAGUCUCAUGUAUGGAGCUUACAACGUUUCUUCAACAUCCAACCCCACUUCUGGUGGUUCUAUGGCCUUGGGGAGAAGUCCCUGCUGUCAACUGACUUGAACCGUUGUCUCUUCUCUCAAACAUGCUUCAGGUGCAAAUGGCAAUCUAGAGCACACUGGUCGUUGUGACUCUGCUCGAGCUGGCUGGAUAUACUAUUCUAGAGAGUGAUACAGUCAUGACUUUGUUCAGAAGCAAGAUGGGUCCAUGAAUCCAUGAGUCCAUGACCACCGCAAUGCACCGACCGCUUCCAAGAAACAGACUUCUGUGUUAUCGCUGGUCUUUCGGUGUAUUACCAGAUCGUUCUGUACUCCUUCCAAUCCAGCCUGUCUGCCGAUAACCGAUGCCUGCUGCGUGACGUGUACGCCCUGGCGUGCAACCUGGAAGCUCGCAGACGGGCUUCAGAGAACCUUUCCCCGUCAACCUUUUGAAGGUCGGCCAAGAAGAACCACGAGUCUGGUACUCAAGGCAGUCAGUCCAACAACGGUGGCUCGUACGAUUACCAUUACGGCUCUGGUUACAGCAUCUUUACUACCCAACUCAAGUAGUUACGUGAUUGUCCAGUAUUUCAUUACGUCCGGCCUUCAAAGAAUCUCUACUUCCAGUACUGUACUGUACUUGUACAAGUAUCUACAGUAUGGGUAUCAUAAAAGUCCAAGUACAUGUGAGUACAAACGCGAUUAUAGAAGGUCCCGUGGAACUUCUUUAGAAUACGAGUACUUGUACAAGCAGUUAUAUGUUGCUAUACCCAUCCAAAAUACAUCUCACAAGUGUGUGUA
rnacentral:misc_RNA from 1 species